UACAGCCACAUCAUGUUGGAACACCGGUUCCUGUAUGAUCCCCCAAGUUAAGCAACAUCGAGCCUGGUCGGUACCUAGAUGGGUGACUGCUCGGGAAUACCAAGUGCUGUUA